CAAUAGCGUAUAUUAAAGUUGUUGCGGUUAAAAAGCUCGUAGUUGGAUUUCUGCGAGGGCGAGCCGGUCCGCUCUAUGAGCGUGUAUCUGGAUUGACCUUUGCAUCCUCUCGAAAACGUUUCUGCGCUUGAUUGCGUGGUGCGGGUUCGGGAGCUUUUACUUUGAGGAAAUUAGAGUGUUCACGGCAGGCGAUCGCCUUGAAUAUAUUAGCAUGGAAUAAUAAUAUAGGAUCUUGGUUCUAUUUUGUUGGUUUCUAGGACUAAGAUAAUGAUUAAUAGGGACAAUUGGGCGAUCGUAUAAUCACGCAGAGGUGGAAUUCUUGGAUUGUGUUACGACGAACUACUGCGAAAGCAUUUGCCAAGGAUGUUUUCAUUGAUCAAGAACGAAAGUAAGG
rnacentral:rRNA from 1 species